UUUCACUCCGAGCUGUGGGGAUUUAAUGGAGAUCCCGGCAAGUUUCGGGUAUCCUCUGCGGUGUUCAGCUUCUGCAUGAGCGUUCACGGACAUUGAUAACGACUUGCUGUUAUUAACUACAGACCCUGUGAACGUGGUACUGGUGUUGGGAUGCUGGGUUCCUUUUCCUGCACUGCAUGAGGUGAACUAGGCAUAGAGCUAAUGAGCCCCCCCCAUUCUAUUUGGUAGUUUGCUGUGUAGCCGCG